rnacentral:rRNA from 1 species
GAUGAACGCUAGCUACAGGCUUAACACAUGCAAGUCGAGGGGCAUCAGGAAGAAAGCUUGCUUUCUUUGCUGGCGACCGGCGCACGGGUGAGUAACACGUAUCCAACCUGCCCUUUACUCGGGGAUAGCCUUUCGAAAGAAAGAUUAAUACCCGAUGGCAUAAUGAUUCCGCAUGGUUUCAUUAUUAAAGGAUUCCGGUAAAGGAUGGGGAUGCGUUCCAUUAGGUUGUUGGUGAGGUAACGGCUCACCAAGCCUUCGAUGGAUAGGGGUUCUGAGAGGAAGGUCCCCCACAUUAGAACUGAGACACGGUCCAAACUCCUACGGGAGGCAGCAGUGAGGAAUAUUGGUCAAUGGGCGCUAGCCUGAACCAGCCAAGUAGCGUGAAGGAUGAAGGCUCUAUGGGUCGUAAACUUCUUUUAUAUAAGAAUAAAGUGCAGUAUGUAUACUGUUUUGUAUGUAUUAUAUGAAUAAGGAUCGGCUAACUCCGUGCCAGCAGCCGCGGUAAUACGGAGGAUCCGAGCGUUAUCCGGAUUUAUUGGGUUUAAAGGGAGCGUAGGUGGACUGGUAAGUCAGUUGUGAAAGUUUGCGGCUCAACCGUAAAAUUGCAGUUGAUACUGUCAGUCUUGAGUACAGUAGAGGUGGGCGGAAUUCGUGGUGUAGCGGUGAAAUGCUUAGAUAUCACGAAGAACUCCGAUUGCGAAGGCAGCUCACUGGACUGCAACUGACACUGAUGCUCGAAAGUGUGGGUAGCAAACAGG